UCAAUUAUUUUUAGCCUCUGGCUAUAGGAAAUUGUUAGUGGCAGACGGGUGAGUAAUGCGUAGGAAUCUACCUAGUAGUACGGAAUAGCCAUUAGAAAUGGUGGGUAAUACUGUAUAAUCCCCGAGGGGGAAAGAUUUAUCGCUAUUAGAUGAGCCUACGUUAGAUUAGCUAGUUGGUGAGGUAAUGGCUUACCAAGGCUAUGAUCUAUAGCUGGUCUGAGAGGACGAUCAGCCACACUGGAACUGAGAUACGGUCCAGACUCCUACGGGAGGCAGCAGUGGGGAAUAUUGGACAAUGGGCGAAAGCCUGAUCCAGCUAUGCCGCGUGAGUGAAGAAGGCCUUCGGGU
rnacentral:rRNA from 1 species